GCAGCCGCCGCGGGAAUACGUAGGUGGCAAGCGUUGUCCGGAGUUAUUGGGCGUAAAGGGCUCGCAGGCGGUUUCUUAAGUCUGAUGUGAAAGCCCCCGGCUCAACCGGGGAGGGUCAUUGGAAACUGGGAAACUUGAGUGCAGAAGAGGAGAGUGGAAUUCCACGUGUAGCGGUGAAAUGCGUAGAGAUGUGGAGGAACACCAGUGGCGAAGGCGACUCUCUGGUCUGUAACUGACGCUGAGGAGCGAAAGCGUGGGGAGCGAACAGGAUUAGAUACCCCUGUAGUCCCUGUCUCUUAUAA
rnacentral:rRNA from 1 species